CAACGCUGGCCCUGCCAGACACGGCAACUCCCACUUUAGGAGUAACUUUUUCGGGACGCGUGUGUGCACGUUUUGAAAUAUGAGCAACCUACUGGGGGAUGACCGCGCUGUAAAGUAUGCAACAGUUGAUGGGGAGUUUCCAGCGCAGGACACGAAGCUAUUGGCUUCGAGUAAUAUAUGACUGUGGGACGAUGAGGACUUACUUUACGGAUGAAGCUGGUUGAAAAAUGGAUGCCACCAAAAUCAGGUCAAGCAAUGAGGUUCAUAUCCCUACUUAUUUUCAGUGCCCAGCUUCCCCGAGUCUAAGCCACAAAAAGGAAGCGGAAAAUCUGGUGACAGCUGAUUUACUCAGACCCAAAUAUUUUGCAGCACCGAGUAGUCGGUUAAUUAUUUUUAGAAAAUUCACGUGAAAAUUAUGAAAAUUAUAGCCCUUGCCAGGCUGGGUAAAAAUAUUCAUUAAGUGCUCGCUGCUCAUCAGAAAUUUAGAGGCGACUGGUCGGAAUCAAACCCUCUUGUAAAAUUCUGGCCAAAAAUAAAUGAAGCAGAGAGUCGGGCCGAAACUAUAGGUAUUUUAAGAAUGUAAUUUUGCCGGCGACGAUGAAAACUUUCCCCUCUGACCCGAAAACGCUGGUCAGCAGGAGCAGCUUAGAAGCCGUUGGAGCUUCGUGUUUAUUACAGCCAAUCGAAGGACCGAAUCUGUUCCCCUACAGUAGGACAUCGUUUUGGAACGUUAAAAGCUGCGCCCAAAGUGAAUAAUACUCCCACGACGUGCUGUCAUUUCCAACUAAAAUAAAAAUAAAAAUAAAAACAGAAGUACGCACAAGUACCCUGGCACUGGGGCAUUAUUCAUAAAUAGUACGCAUAUUACAGACAGUCACUAGAUGGCUGAAGGAAAUGAGAUGGAGAUGAAGAUGGAGUUGGAGUUGGAUAUGGAGGUACUGGAUCCGCUUCCUGCAUUUGUAAGCGAUCAAAUUUGACGUGCACUUAUGAAACAAAUUGGCGCUCUUGCCUGCGAAGCACAGGCAACACUCGCUACGUGCAGCUAUUUUUGCAUAAAUAUGUUACCCUGCUAUUAAAUUAAAUUUUCGCACAUUAAGUAUACGCCAUGUGGAUGCUAAGUGUGCAAGGCAGAAACGUGUUUUCCAGCAAGUGCAUUGAAUCUGGAUCUGCUAGACGCAGAUGGCUUGAGGGAUGCAUUAGCACCCAGAUCAAAGCCUGAAUCCAUCCCAUUUGUCAUCAAUCAAAGUUAAAUCUCACCGUUUAUGAUUUGUGUCAUUGCCAAAAACGACAGAUGAGUGGAAAUAUAAAACUCCACAGAUAAAUAAAUAAGCCUCCGAAAAAUAUCGGGUAAA